AGGCCAGGGAGCACGGAUUUGAGCUUGUAGAUGGCCUGUGAGUAUAAGGGGAUGAAUCUACAAGAAGAGCAGAACAAGAAAGCUCACCUCGAAAUUUGAUUAGAGGUCGAGAGCUCGAAUGCUCGGAGAAAGCUCGGAUGCUCGGAGGAAGAAGCUCGGAGCGAUGCGAGCUCGGAGGAAGAGCACUUACAACCGGCUCAAGAUGUGAGGAUGGCCAGGA
rnacentral:lncRNA from 1 species